CAGCCGCCGCGGUAAUACAGAGGGUGCGAGCGUUAAUCGGAUUUACUGGGCGUAAAGCGUGCGUAGGCGGCUUUUUAAGUCGGAUGUGAAAUCCCUGAGCUUAACUUAGGAAUUGCAUUCGAUACUGGGAAGCUAGAGUAUGGGAGAGGAUGGUAGAAUUCCAGGUGUAGCGGUGAAAUGCGUAGAGAUCUGGAGGAAUACCGAUGGCGAAGGCUGCCAUCUGGCCUAAUACUGACGCUGAGGUACGAAAGCAUGGGGAGCAAACAGGAUUAGAGACCCCCGUAGUCCCUGUCUCUUAUAC
rnacentral:rRNA from 1 species